AAUGAGGAGUUGAGUUGUUGCUGGCCUCUGGGGAUUAUUUCUCCAAGGCAUGUGCACACCUUCUCUUUCAUCCACACACCCCUGUGCACUUGUGAGACAGUAAGGUUUCUUUUUUUCCCCUUUUGCCUUUGCUGUCUACUUAAUCUACACACACUCUAUUUAUUUUAAAAUGAAUGUAAUUGAUGUAACGCAUCUAAUACUAAGUUUCAACAACGGAUCUCUUGGCUCUCGCAUCGAUGAAGAACGCAGCGAAAUGCGAUAAGUAAUGUGAAUUGCAGAAUUCAGUGAAUCAUCGAAUCUUUGAACGCACCUUGCGCUCCUUGGUAUUCCUUGGAGCAUGCCUGUUUGAGUAUCAUGAAAUCUUCAAAGUAAACCUUUUUUGUUAAUUCAAUUUAGGUCUCUUACUUUGGUCUUGGAGGUUAUUGCAGCUUCACACCUGCUCCUCUUUGUGCAUUAGCUGGAUCUCAGUGUUAUGCUUGGUUCCACUCAGCGUGAUAAGUUAUCUAUCGCUGAGGACACUGGUAAAAAGGUGGCCAAGGUAAACGCAGAUGAACCGCUUCCAAUAGUCCAUUGACUUGGACAAUUAUUUAUGAUCUGAUCUCAAAUCAGGUAGGACUACCCGC
rnacentral:rRNA from 1 species